AUUUCCGCCAGGCUUCCGUAGUUUCCUCUAAUUUGGCAGCUUGCGACGCUGAGGAAGCAGAGCAGUGCAAGGAGUCACAGAGAAGGAGUUUAUGUGAUUUUUAGUUCAUUUUCAGAAUAAAACCUCCUGUAAAGAAGUCCAUUGUGUGAACACUGUCGACAAAUGCAUCACAAGUCCAGACCCGAUACACAAACAGCACAAUCCCAUUCAAGAGCAGACAAACGUUACAAGGAGACAGAACAGGAUCGCUGACGGGUCUGCCAACUUACAAAAAAAGAGCCCAUUUUUGGUGUUCCGGGUGCAGAGCCACAAUUCCUCACUUGACUGCACUUUGCAAUCAGGCCUUUAAGCCUUGUAGCUGCCACAUUUACCACAUGACUAUUCCUUACCAACCCCCCAUGUCAGGGACUCUU